rnacentral:lncRNA from 1 species
AUCUGAAACUAAAUAAUAAUGAAAUUAAAUCGGUAUGUUUACAUGUAUUAAAUUAGUACUAAAUCACAAAAAUGAAUUAACUAAGGCUUUCUACUUACAUCUGUCCUAAGCAAGUAUCCUUUUCCUUUUAUCUUAACAUUUAACAAUAAUAAACCUUACUUAAAACUUUAUAAACUUCAUAAAACCAUACGAAAACUUGUUCAAAACAUUUCUACAAGCUCAUCACAUUUUUCCUACGAACCCUUCCGACUAAGGUCCGAGUAAACUCCGACUAACUAAAACAUUAAAAUAGUCUUACAUGAAGUCCUUUCAUCGUCAAUGAAACACUCCCCCCGACAAUGGGAGAAUUCCCAUUCACUCCUCUUCGUAGCCUUCUGCUGGAUAAAUUACGCAUAUCUUGUUGAUAGGUCGGCUGUAGGUUCCCGUAGCAGUUUUCACCUUCACAUUCCUGACCAACCCGUCCUCUCCCUGAUAGACUUCCACGAUCUUUCCGGUGUUCCACUUUCCCCUUACUGCGUUUGGCUCGGACACUAUAACAUAAUCGUUCACCGUUACAUUACGAGUCUGCGUAUUCCAUUUUCUUCGUGGGGUUAAUAGCGGUAGGGCGUCUCUUGACCACUUCUUCCAAAAAGCAUCAAUAAUUCUCUGACAAAACUCGAAUCGGUGGCGAGGAUUUUGUGUUUCUCGGAACGGACCUUGAGGCACAGCGUUCGUAGCUCUGCCCAAUAGUAUAUCGUUUGGACAUAGGUAUCCGCCAUCAUCCGGAUCUGUUGGUACGCUUCCAAUCGGCCGUUGGUUAACCAAAUUCGCAGCUUCCAAAACGCACGUGUAUAGCUCGAAUGGUGUUAAAAGGGCGUCGCCAAUUGCUCUCUUCAUUGCUAGCUUCACACUUUUUACCAUCGCCUCAGAGCAUCCAUUUUGAUGCGGUGCCAAUGGUGUGAUGAAUUGCCAUUUCAUUCCUCUGGCUGCGCAAAAUUCUUCCAAUUGAUCUUUGUUCCAUCCUUCGAUCAUUAACUUCAAUUCGUUGUUUGCUCCUACCAUCUGCGUUCCGUUGUCAGAUAAGAGCACUUUCGGAUAACCACGGUAUGAAAAGAACCUUCUUAAGACUUGCCAGAGCUCCAUCGUGCUGGCAUCAACUGCAAUCUCGCAAUGGAUGGCUCUGGUAUUCAUGCACGUGAAUACUACACCAUAAUGUUUAACUGUUUUGUUUCUGCCUACUUUUACGUUGAUUGGUCCAAAGUAAUCCAUCGUUGAGUAGAGGAACGGUGGGGUGCACGGCUGCAAACGAAAUGGUGGCAGGAUAGCCAUGAGCUGGGUUUCAACUUUCGCUUCGAGCUUUCGACAUGUUGUGCACCGUUGCUUGACGACUUUCGCAAUCCUAUGAGCUUUGAUGACCCAAUACAUUCUACGUAUUUUGGCGACUGUCGUGGCGACACCAGAAUGACUUGUUUCGUGAGCAUCACGGACUAUUAAGGUGGACAGAUAGUGAUCAUAUGGUAAAAGUGCGGGACGUCUUUCAUCGUAGGAAACUAAGGUUGGAUCCACACGACCUCCUACCCUGAGGAUAUUUCUAUCGUCCUUAUAUGGAGACAGGGUCUUGAAAUCGCCUCUAGGUAAUCUCUUUAAGAGAUUUGACUGCAUCUGUUUUAGCCAGUACUCCUCCGCGUUUUCCAAUUCUUGAUUGGUUAAUGGACCAACUUCUGGUUGUUGAUUUCUCUCAUUUCGACCACACUUGAUUCGACAAUUCUGGAUAAAUCUCUGGAUGUAACUCGUGAUCCUUAUUACUCGUUUCCACUUCGAGAACCGUUUACAGUCGAAUAACGGCUUGCUGACAGCGACAGGACAUACGAUCUUGACUUGUCUCCUUUCUUUGUUAACUUCCUUUCUUUCUGGUACGCCAGUUUCCAUCGGCCAUUGCUCCUCGGGUAACUGUAUAAACACCGGACCGUUUAACCAUCUACCAUUCACUUCUUCAGCCGAAAUACCUUUCGUUAAAUCGUCCGCCACGUUCAUUGCAGUGGGACAAUGGAGCCAGUUGGAAGGGUCGGAGUUUGAUUGAAUCUCACUAACUCGGCAAGAAACAAAGGGUUUAUAGGUUCGCGGCUGUCCUUAAAUCCAUGCAAGUGUGACACGACUGUCCGAGAAGAAGAUUGUUCGUGCAAUCCUCAGGCGGGUUUCCUUCAGGAUGGCCUUAGCCAAGCGGCUGGCUAAGACUGCAGCUUGUAAUUCCAGGCGAGGAAUUGUGAGUUCUUUCAAUGGCGCCACCCGAGAUUUCGCAGCAACAAAUCUUACGCCGAAUGCUCCGUCUUCAAGUUGCCAUCUCAUAUAUGCACAAGUACCAAAUGCCAACCGAGAAGCAUCACAGAAUACAAUUAACCAUGGAUUACUAAUUGCAUUCAGGGGUGUUAAGCAUCGCUCGAAUUCAAUCUCAUUUAAGGUAGACAUUUCAUUGAACAACACCGUCCAUUUCUUUCUGACGUCUGGUGGGACAUCGUCAUCCCAACCCAGCCCUCGUAGCCAUAACUCUUGCAUCGCUAUCUUCGCUUUUAUCAGAACAGCGGCACCACCUCCAAUCGGGUCAAAGAUUUCAGAUAUCUUGCUCAAAAUGAUACGCUUUGUUAACUUUCCUGGAACUGUAGAGCGUAGGGAUUCAUCCGAUUCUGAAACAUCAGUGUGUCCCAAUUUAACUUUGAAUGAAAACUUAUCUUGUUGAGGGUUCCAAACUGUUCCAAGAACUUUCUGUGUAUCGUUCAGCGGAUCUUGACCAAGUACGACUUCUCCUUGUUGCUCUUCAUCAUUCAACACUGCGUUUGAUACCCAUCCCUUGACGUGGAAUCCGCCAGCAUCAAGUACUUCAUCAAUAUCUCUUGUCAGUUCUUUGGCUGCUUGUACGGUGUUCUGCGAGUCACAUAUGUCAUCCAUGUAGGUAUUUUUCUUGAUUGAAUUGGCAGCUUCCGGCUUGACAUCCUCUUUCAGCUCAGCAGUUUUACGCAUUGCAACGAUGGCCAUGGUGGGCGAUGGACGGUCCCCAAACGUAAGAACUGUCUUAACGUAGGUAUCAGGCUCGCGUUCUGUCUCGAAACUCCUCCAAAGAAAGCGGUGGACAUGUUGAUCAAUUGGCGGGAUGCCAACCAUAUGAUACAUCUUUGCAAUGUCACCACAAACAGCAACAGCAUUCUCUCGGAAACGCAGUAUUACCCCGAAAAGGUUAUUCAGUAGGUCGGGACCUUUGUACCAAUAAUCGUUUAGACAGUGUCCUUUGAACGACGCUGAACUGUUGAAAACGAUACGCACUGGCGUAGACUUCUUUUCUUCACGAACUACGGCGUGGUGAGCGAUAUAAUGGGCUGGCUUUUUCCAUUCUGCGACUUCCUCUUGUGUUAACUUUCUCGAGAACUUUCUAUCUUCCAUUUCUUUUAUCUGUGUAUCAUAAUCUUUGGCAUGUUUGGGCUGUUUACUCAAGCGACGCUCUGUACUUUUCAGCUUCUUCAGGACUUGCGAAUAGUUGUUUGGCAAUUGGCUAGGGUCUUUCUUCCAAGGAUAGUUCAUUAUCCAUUUCUUGCCAACCAACUCACAGGAUUCUUCUAUCAAC